CCAAUAGCGUAUAUUAAAGUUGUUGCAGUUAAAAAGCUCGUAGUUGAAUUUCGGGAUCAGUACGCUGGUCGUGCCUUUGGUAUGUACUGGUGUCACUGAUUCCUCCCUUCUGAAGAACCGUUAUGCCAUUUAUUUGGUGUGGCGGGAAAUCAGGACUGUUACUUUGAAAAAAUUAGAGUGUUUAAAGCAGGCUCGCGCUUGAAUACAUUAGCAUGGAAUAAUGAAAUAGGACGUUUGAUCUUAUUUUGUUGGUUUCUAGGAUCGACGUAAUGAUUAAUAGGGAUAGUUGGGGGCAUUAGUAUUCAAUUGUCAGAGGUGAAGUUCUUGGAUUUAUUGAAGACUAACUACUGCGAAAGCAUUUGCCAAGGAUGUUUUCAUUAAUCAAGAACGAAAGUUAGGGGAUCGAAGACGAUCAGAUACCGUCGUAGUCUUAACCAUAAACUAUGCCGACUAGGGAUCGGAUGAUGUUAAUUUUUUAAUGACUCAUUCGGCGCCUUACG
rnacentral:rRNA from 1 species